GAUGAAGAACGCAGCGAAAUGCGAUAAGUAAUGUGAAUUGCAGAAUUCAGUGAAUCAUCGAAUCUUUGAACGCACAUUGCGCCCCUUGGUAUUCCGAGGGGCAUGCCUGUUCGAGCGUCAUUAUAACCCCUCAAGCUCAGCUUGGUGUUGGGGCCUGCUGCACUGGCAGCCCUUAAAAUCAGUGGCGGCGCCGUCUGGCUCUAAGCGUAGUAAUUCUUCUCGCUAUGGAGUCCUGGUGGAUGCUUGCCAUCAACCCCCAAUUUUUCUAUGGUUGACCUCGGAUCAGGUAGGGAUACCCGCUGAACCUAAGCAUAUCAAUAAGCGGAGGA
rnacentral:misc_RNA from 1 species